rnacentral:rRNA from 1 species
AACGGCCAUACCAUGCUGAAUAUACCGGUUCUCGUUAGAUCACCGAAGUCAAGCAUCAUUGGGCUACGGUCAGUACAUGGGUGGGUGACCACCUGGGAACACCGCGUGCCGUU